GACGAACGCUGGCGGCGUGCUUAACACAUGCAAGUCGAACGGUAAGGCCCUUCGGGGUACACGAGUGGCGAACGGGUGAGUAACACGUGGGUGAUCUGCCCUGCACUUCGGGAUAAGCCUGGGAAACUGGGUCUAAUACCGGAUAGGACCCUGGGAUGCAUGUCCUGGGGUGGAAAGCUUUUGCGGUGUGGGAUGGGCCCGCGGCCUAUCGGCUUGUUGGUGGGGUGAUGGCCGACCAAGGCGACGACGGGUAGCCGGCCUGGGAGGGUGACCGGCCACACUGGGACUGAGAUACGGCCCAGACUCCUACGGGAGGCAGCAGUGGGGAAUAUUGCACAAUGGGCGCAAGCCUGAUGCAGCGACGCCGCGUGAGGGAUGACGGCCUUCGGGUUGUAAACCUCUUUCAGCACCGACGAAGCGCAAGUGACGGUAGGUGCAGAAGAAGGACCGGCCAACUACGUGCCAGCCGCCGCCGUAA
rnacentral:rRNA from 1 species